GCCGGAGUGGCGGAAUUGGCGGACGCGCCUGACUCAAAAUCAGGUAUGCUCACGCAUGUGUCGGUUCGAGUCCGACCUCCGGUA
rnacentral:tRNA from 1 species